rnacentral:lncRNA from 1 species
UUAGCCUGUGGUGGCAGACCAUUACCAUUCUUUUCUGUGAGUAUCUUUAUACAAAAAAGAACCCCAACCACCCAAUAACACCAGCUAGCAUAAGUCAGGUCCAAACUUCAAUUUUAUACAAACUUACUCAAGAGCACACUUCAUUGAACCCAGUGGGACUUGUCUCCAAAUGCACAUGAUUACACAACGCUACAUGUGAAACUUCACUUUCUUUGCAACUAGCUUUUACUGAAUAUGCUGAAGGAUGGAAAUCUAUAACCAUUUUUCUUUAGGGGAAAGAUACCCUUAGCACCACCUCCUGAGUUAGCAGGAGACCUUUGCAACACCAUCCUUACUUAGCCCUGCUCAUGCCCUUCCAAAACUGAGAAUGAAGCUAGUCUAUCAUAUUUCCUUCCUGCUACUUAUAUAACUUGACUCCACACUCAUUUAAUCUGAAUACAUUUGGCAGUGCAAUUUCCCUCCCACUGUGUCCAAGCAAGGAUUUGUUUUUAAUUCCUGGAGGCAGCAGGAUACUGACCACUCUUCCCUGGGGGUGCAAAACAUUUUCUAGUGCUCUAUAUUUUAUUUGAACAAGAUUUAACAAGGAAAACUGCUGGAGACAACACACCAUUAUUCCAUUUGAAUAAAUACUCAUGUUUUUUUCUUUAUGAGUACAGCAGCAGGAGGGAUGGUGCCUGCUAAGCCAGAGCAUAAUACAAUUCCACACAGGAAGAGAAGAAAAAUGAUUUGAUCUUGUUGAUGUUUAUUCACAACUGCCACGGCUAUCUCCUUUUCUUGGCACCGAUUUACAGUUCUACUUUUUCUCUGCGGAAGGAUAACCAUGAAAAAGGAGUAGGUGGGAAUGCAAAACUAUGUGGGAAAGCAGAUGGUAGCAAUAAUUGGAUGCUUCACAACAGCAGGAAACAAACAGUAGAGUGCACUAAAGAAAUAAAUUAGUAUUACUGCUACAGAACAGGUAGUUAAUAAAUAGUCUGAACUUGGAAGAGCGAAGUAGCCCAGUCUGGGACUGGGAAAUCCCAAAGAGGCUGAGAAGAUCCCCCAGUUAGAAACAUAUUUGCUGUAUCAUGAAGUAAGAGUUUUAGAGACCUGCUGUUGCAUGUUCCCACUAUUAAAAAAGCAAGAGGAAAACACUCAAAAUGUGUUGGGAAAUCAUGUUGUUAAGUGACUGCAGAAUUACAUCUAAUGUGCAGGGGAUGGAGGAGAGAAGAGGGGGUGACAACUAGUUCCUUCCCCCCUCCUCCUCCUGGUGCCUUGGGAGAAGCCUUAUAAGUUCUUGAACCACCAGCAAGGCU